GAUCCUGGCCCAGGAUGAACGCUAGCGACAGGCCUAACACAUGCAAGUCGAGGGGCAGCGGAGAGGUAGCAAUACCUUUGCCGGCGACCGGCGCACGGGUGAGUAACACGUAUGCAAUCCACCUGUAACAGGGGGAUAACCCGGAGAAAUCCGGACUAAUACCCCAUAAUAUGGGCGUUCCGCAUGGAGAGCUCAUUAAAGAGAGCAAUUUUGGUUACAGACGAGACAUGCGCCUACCUAGUUACG
rnacentral:rRNA from 1 species